rnacentral:piRNA from 1 species
UGAUCUUCCAGUUCUCUUCAGGACAUA